UAACGCAGCGAAAGUUGCGCUAAUACCGCAUACGCCCUGAGGGGGAAAGCGGGGGACCGUAAGGCCUCGCGCGAUUAGAGCGGCCGAUGUCUGAUUAGCUUGUUGGUGAGGUAAAAGCUCACCAAGGCGAUGAUCAGUAGCUGGUCUGAGAGGAUGAUCAGCCACACUGGGACUGAGACACGGCCCAGACUCCUACGGGAGGCAGCAGUGGGGAAUUUUCCGCAAUGGGCGAAAGCCUGACGGAGCAACGCCGCGUGAGGGAUGAAGGCCUCUGGGCUGUAAACCUCUUUUCUCAAGGAAGAAGACAUGACGGUACUUGAGGAAUAAGCCACGGCUAAUUCCGUGCCAGCAGCCGCGGUAAUACGGGAGUGGCAAGCGUUAUCCGGAAUUAUUGGGCGUAAAGCGUCCGCAGGCGGCCUUGUAAGUCUGUCGUUAAAGCGUGGAGCUCAACUCCAUUUAAGCGAUGGAAACUACAAGGCUGGAGUGUGGUAGGGGCAGAGGGAAUUCCCGGUGUAGCGGUGAAAUGCGUAGAUAUCGGGAAGAACACCAGUGGCGAAGGCGCUCUGCUGGGCCAUAACUGACGCUCAUGGACGAAAGCCAGGGGAGCGAAAGGGAUUAGAUACCCCUGUAGUCCUGGCCGUAAACGAUGAACACUAGGUGUCGGGGGAAUCGACCCCCUCGGUGUCGUAGCCAACGCGUUAAGUGUUCCGCCUGGGGAGUACGCACGCAAGUGUGAAACUCAAAGGAAUUGACGGGGGCCCGCACAAGCGGUGGAGUAUGUGGUUUAAUUCGAUGCAACGCGAAGAACCUUACCAGGGUUUGACAUCCUGCGAAUCCCUUGGAAACGAGGGAGUGCCUUCGGGAGCGCAGAGACAGGUGGUGCAUGGCUGUCGUCAGCUCGUGUCGUGAGAUGUUGGGUUAAGUCCCGCAACGAGCGCAACCCACGUCUUUAGUUGCCAGCAUUCAGUUGGGCACUCUAGAGAGACCGCCGGUGAUAAACCGGAGGAAGGUGUGGAUGACGUCAAGUCAUCAUGCCCCUUACAUCCUGGGCUACACACGUACUACAAUGCUACGGACAAAGGGCAGCAAGCUCGCGAGAGUAAGCAAAUCCCAUAAACCGUGGCUCAGUUCAGAUCGUAGGCUGCAACUCGCCUACGUGAAGGAGGAAUCGCUAGUAAUCGCAGGUCAGCAUACUGCGGUGAAUACGUUCCCGGGCCUUGUACACACCGCCCGUCACACCAUGGAAGUUGGCCAUGCCCGAAGUCGUUACUCCAACCCUUGUGGAGGAGGACGCCGAAGGUGGGGCUGAUGACUGGGGUGAAGUCGUAACAAGGUAGCCGUACCGGAAGGUGCGGCUG
rnacentral:rRNA from 1 species